CAGCGUCAGAUGUGUAUAAGAGACAGUUAAAAAGCUCGUAGUUGGAUUUCUGGCGUUUACCAUCCUUUUCUAGAAAACGAUUCUGCCAUUCACUUGGUUGGAUCGCGAUCUAGAUCUUUUACUUUGAAAAGAGUGUUUAAAGCAGGCUUUGCUAUGAAUACAUAAGUAAUGAUUGAUAGGGAUAGUUGGGGGUUAGUAUUGGCACCAAGGAUGUCUUCUUCUGUCUCUUAUACACAUCUCCGAGCCCACGAGACAGAUGAGGAUCUCGUAUGCCGUCUUCUGCUUGAAAAAAAAAA
rnacentral:rRNA from 1 species